ACUGCGAGUGAAGCGGGAAAAGCUCAAAUUUUAAAUCUGGCGGUCCUUUGCGGCCGUCCGAGUUGUAAUCUAGAGAAGUGCUUACCCGCGCUGGACCGUGUACAAGUCUCCUGGAAUGGAGCGUCAUAGAGGGUGAGAAUCCCGUCUUGGACCCGGGCUGCCAGGGCUUAUGUGGUGCGCUCUCGAAGAGUCGAGUUGUUUGGGAAUGCAGCUCUAAAUGGGUGGUAAAUUCCAUCUAAAGCUAAAUACAGGCGAGAGACCGAUAGCGAACAAGUACCGUGAGGGAAAGAUGAAAAGAACUUUGGAAAGAGAGUUAAACAGUACGUGAAAUUGCUGAAAGGGAAACGUUUGAAGUCAGUCGCGUUGGCUGGGGAUCAACCUUGCUCUUGCAGGGCGCACUCUCUGGUUUCGACGGGUCAGCAUCAGUUUUGGUCGCUGGAGAAAGGCUAGGGGAAUGUGGCAUCGCUUCGGUGAUGUGUUAUAGCCCUUGGUUGUAUGCAGCGGUUGGGACUGAGGAACUCAGCGCGCGCCUUUCAAAGGGUGCCGGGUCUUUGACCACGCACGCGCUUAGGAUGCUGGCAUAAUGGCU
rnacentral:rRNA from 1 species